UCAGAGAUGCUGAGAGCUGCUGAGCUACUUACAGCCUGGCUGGAGUCAAUGAGAGCUGCAGGCACUCAGCCCUUCCCUGGAUUCUGCUCUCAUUUGCAGAGGGACUUUUCUGCCAGCUGUACACCUGGGAAGCAGCAUGAGAAGAGUUGCCCAUAACCAGCACAGUAACUCGGACCUUUAGUCCUUGCAGGAUGUCAGUAGGGAAAGGAAAAAGGAAAUUAUUCACUCUUUGGCUGGAAGGACUGUGCAGAAAUCAGGAGGGUCUCAAAAACUUAAGAACAGUGAAGUGGUAAAGAUUUAAAGAAAAAUGGAGAAAAACCUCAAGGCUUUAAGUCUGGAGCCUUUCUAUAAUUUGGAGGCAGUAGCAGAAGCAAGCAGACCUUUAAAGCCAAGAUGUACGUCUCCCUUAAUUCCUCUGUGGAUUUGUUUUAUAGACUAAGCAGAGAGGGCUCUGCUCUCUCACUGCACCGCAUUACAUACACAUGGUAUUGUGUGGGUUUGCUCCUAACAUGUCAUGUCAUUUAAAAAACAGCUUGGAAGAAUUCAUUUAAUGCAGAAAUUCCGUGAAAAUACAAAGAUCAAUGUAGAAAAUACGUGCACUAUCGGAAAAUGCCUGCGGAUCAAGCUGGAAAACUAAGGAACAAAUUGAUGGCAAUAACGAUGAUUGAUGAUAUAGCAGAUAAGAGAAAACAAAACCCCCAAAGAAGCAGCACAGAGCAUCUGUUAACAGAGUGGUUCGAACAAACUCCUGAAAUGGCUGCAUGAAAAGACAAGUGUUCUUCCAAAAAAGGGCACAACAUUCACAGGAUGGAAUCCUGGGCCCAGUGAACUCAAUGACAAAGCUGCUGCUCAUUUGGCUGUCUUGUUAGGCUUAGAGCAAAAACACAAACACUUACUAUUAGAUGGCGGUAUGUGAGCUUUUAGACUGAUUUCAGUGGGUCUGUUUCUUCCUUAAAGUUAAGCAUGUCCUUAAUAGCCUUGCAGGAUCUGAACCUAAAUCAGUGGGCAUAAUUGUCUGUAUCUACUGCUUACAGCAAAGCUUUGAAAUCCCCUGAGGUUUGCAUCCAAAACCUUGCUCUGAAUUUUUCAGAUUGGCAAACCCGAUCUGUAAUGUACAAACCUGGCACUGCUAACAGUGGGUAUUUGCAGGCAAGUGAUGCAAGGGGGUUAUUUUUGUGCUGUGUUACACCAGGUAAUGGUAUUCUGUCACCAAAGUCAGAAUGAGCACUAUGCUGACUUCCAGUUUGUAUCCCAGACAAUUUCACUAAAGCCAGAGGUAUUGUAUUGUGCUUAUUUAUUGCUUAAUUAUCCCUGUAGGUGUUCAAGGUACUUUGUAACAGCUAAAACAGUCCCUGCCCUGAAGAGCAUGCAGUCAAAUCUAAGAUUAGAGGCGACAGCGCUGCAAGGGGCUGGACCUGGAGGAAGAACAAGGUCUUUGUUGUGCUAGAUACUUCAGCAUAUGUCUGUCCCAAAGUUCAGCUAAUUGGUUAACAACUUUUCUGAGUCAAGGCCGGUGAUUGAUGUACACAUGCACUCUGAUGCAAGUGCACGUUCUUGUUGUUGCUACUGCUUUUAAGGCACCAGCUGUCCUGUGUAGAUAUUCUCACAGGCACUUGUUAGACCGUUGGGAAAUAUGAUUUCACUUCUGUGGAAUGACACCAGUUUGUACUGGUUAAUG
rnacentral:lncRNA from 1 species